UACAAGUUAUGAUAACAUGUCCUUCCUUCUGUCAUUGUUGUCAUCAGGUUUGGGUGGAGCUGGUGGAGUCCCAGGUGGAGUUGGAAUAGGAACUGGAUAUGGAGAUUUCAUAUUUUCACAGGAUAUGGGACUGGGGCAAAACCACCUAAAUAUGGUAAUUAUUUUUAAUUUUUAUAAUAAAUAGGAGUUUCAAUAUACUACAGAAACUCUCUAAACCAGGGGUCUCCAAUCCUGCUCCUGGAGAGCUAAUUUCUUGUUGACUUCAGUUCCAGCCCUGCUCCUACAAACCUGCCAGUUAUUUUCCAAUAAUCCUGAAC
rnacentral:lncRNA from 1 species